rnacentral:lncRNA from 1 species
UUUAGACUUGAGAAAGGAACCAGAAAUUGUUGUUCCUUAUAAUGAGGGCCAAAGGAUCUCAGGGAAGUGAAAUAGGAUCAUAAUUAGGUGGGCACCUUCCUUUUGCUGGGUCAAGAAAUUGGAUAAUUCAGCUGGAAUUACAAAGGGAAGAGCAAUUGGAGGAAGAUGAACUUCUGACCUUGUAAUUACAAAUCAGAGCUCUGCAGAAGAAAAUACAGUUGUGCCAGCUGGAGGUUGGGAGUUGGGAUUGUCAUCCCUGCAGCCACUUGGGAUGGUUCUCCAGGGAAGAUUCCACACAGAUUCCAACUCCUUGUAACCAAAUCCUGCUGCCCCAGACACCAUCACCUUCCUCAGGACAACAACUGAUGCCUUCACUGCUGAGGGAAAUGUGCAAGCCCUUAUUGCUCCUCAGGAGGUCACUGGGAAUGAUGUUAUCACUCCAUGGGGUCCCAGCACUGGC